UGCGUAGGGUGCGAGCGUUGUCCGGAAUUAUUGGGCGUAAAGAGCUUGUAGGCGGUUUGUCGCGUCUGCUGUGAAAUCUCAAGGCUCAACCUUGAGCUUGCAGUGGGUACGGGCAGACUAGAGUGUGGUAGGGGAGACUGGAAUUCCUGGUGUAGCGGUGAAAUGCGCAGAUAUCAGGAGGAACACCGAUGGCGAAGGCAGGUCUCUGGGCCACUACUGACGCUGAGAAGCGAAAGCAUGGGGAGCGAACAGG
rnacentral:rRNA from 1 species